UACGAAGGGGGCUAGCGUUGCUCGGAAUCACUGGGCGUAAAGCGCACGUAGGCGGAUAUUUAAGCCGGUGGUGAAAUCCUGGAGCUCAACUCCAGAACCGCCUCCGAUACUGAAUGUCUUCGAGUCCGGGAGAGGUGAGUGGAACUGCGAGUGUAGAGGUGAAAUUCGUAGAUAUUCGCAAGAACACCAGUGGCGAAGGCGGCUCACUGGCCCGGUACUGACGCUGAGGUGCGAAAGCGUGGGGAGCAAACAGG
rnacentral:rRNA from 1 species